rnacentral:rRNA from 1 species
GCUCAGUACGUGACAGCGGAGCGGGUAGUGAGUAGGGGGCGGGCGUUAAUCGGGAUUACGGGGCGUAAAGGGUGGGCAGGAGGUUCUGUAAGGCAGAUGUGAAAGCCCCGGGCUCAACCUGGGAACUGCAUUUGAGACUGCAAGGCUAGAGUGUGGCAGAGGGGGGUAGAAUUCCACGUGUAGCAGUGAAAUGCGUAGAGAUGUGGAGGAAUACCGAUGGCGAAGGCAGCCCCCUGGGUCACUACUGACGCUCAUGCACGAAAGCGUGGGGAGCAAACAGGAUUAGAUACCCGGGUAGUC